rnacentral:tRNA from 1 species
GUGGGUAUAGCUUAGUGGCAGAGCACAUGCUUAGCAUGCAUGAGGUCCUGGGUUCAAUACCCAGUACCUCCA